AGAUUGAACGCUGGCGGCAUGCCUAACACAUGCAAGUCGAGCGGCAGCGCGGGGGCGACCCUGGCGGCGAGCGGCGGACGGGUGAGUAAGGCAUCGGAAUCUGCCCUGAUGUGGGGGAUAACGUAGGGAAACUUACGCUAAUACCGCAUACGACCGAGAGGUGAAAGCGGGGGACCGAAAGGCCUCGCGCAGCAGGAUGAGCCGAUGUCCGAUUAGCUGGUUGGUGGGGUAAAGGCCUACCAAGGCGACGAUCGGUAUCCGGCCUGAGAGGGCGCACGGACACACUGGAACUGAAACACGGUCCAGACUCCUACGGGAGGCAGC
rnacentral:rRNA from 1 species